CUCCUGCACUCUGGUCAUUUGAACAUAACCAGCUGCUGUAAGUGCCUUCACAGUCAAUGGUGAUAAACCACAUUCGUCAAAUCUUUUCUGACUGAGAAUGGAUUCCUCCUCACCUGUCUCACUAUUCUCGCCAUUUUCAGCCAACUUUUUCUUCCCAAGCUCAUGUCUAAUCAACUCCACCUCCUUGGCAAAAUCCGACUCCUUCUCAAGCUCCUUCAAUGGCACUCUUUUCGUUGUCUUCAC
rnacentral:misc_RNA from 1 species